GCUGUUGAACUUUUCAGACAUCAACUGCCUUGCUCACAGCUACCUUCUGACGGAACACGAAGUAUAGCACGGGCCACAGCGUGAGACGGAUCCUUAACAGUCAGCCCAACAUAAGCUCGAAAAGUGGAGAGAAUGGGACCACUACCCACCAAAUGCUGCCAUCCAUAGCCCAAAUGAACAAAUACAAGUGGAACAACCCUCUUCAGAAACGACUGGGUAACAUUAAAUAGAGCAAGGACCGGAGUGGAUACCAGGUGAUGCUAGAGGAAAGAAGCAACAAGAGAAACUCCUAACAAGAAAUAGAUGAAUGGUUAGCCGGUACUCCAGGGAAAUGGACUUAAGUUUCUGGACCAACAACUUUAUAAAUUAACCAUUAAACUUCCACAGCAGCAAAAAUAGUUUUUUUGAAAAACUAACUUUUAUUGGUGCAAA